UGAUAUCCACUUCCUGGAGGACACACCCACCUCUACUCCCAAUGAUCAGUCAUGAUGGGGCUUGACAACAGAGUUUAUGGAAAAACAGAGAUGUACAUCCCCUAUGGAGCCAUGUGAUGCAGCACACAGGAGCAACGGGAGAGACGUGAGAGCUAACUGACAGCAACCAACUACUGUCUUCAGGAGCGAAGGGAGCCUACCCUACCCAAGGGGCCAUCUUCUCAAUAAAGUCACCUCCUUUGAA